UCUCCGUUGGUGAACCAGCGGAGGGAUCAUUACCGAGUGAGGGUCCUCGCGGCCCGACCUCCAACCCCCUGUCUUCCGACUCUGUUGCCUCGGGGGCGACCCGGCCUUCGGGCGUCGGGGCCCCCGGUGGUCCACACCUCAACUCUUGCAUCUGUGCGUCUGAGUAACAUAUUGAAUCAAUCAAAACUUUCAACAACGGAUCUCUUGGUUCCAGCAUCGAUGAAGAACGCAGC
rnacentral:misc_RNA from 1 species